UCCUAACCAACCAACCAGGGAGAUUUCUUCAAAUGACAGGGCAAGGCAGAAAGAGUGAGAAAGGCCGUCUUCUCAGGUACGUCACUGCCAUUGGCCGGACUACUGAUCCUUCGUCUGAUUCCUGCAUGGCCUGGCCUGGCUCCGUAUUGCGUUGCUUUAUGGAUGCCCCAUCUCCUGAAGACUGCUUCAGAACCGUCAUCUCCAUUAGAGAUUCCACAGACACUUCCCACCCUGGCAGGAUGCAGAGACUUGAUCUGAAAGUACAUGAGGACCAUCGACAGGAAGGCAGACCCAUCAUUUGGGAAUCUUGACAGAAUGCGGAUUCUGAAUCUGUCUGAGGUCUGAGGUGGGGCCGGGGAUCUGCAUUUCUAGCCAGCUCUCAGAUGACAGAGGUGCCACUUGUCUGUGGACCUUGAGUGGCAUGGCUCCAGUGGUUUGGAGAGUCAGUCUCCUGAGUGAUUACCUCAGUUUCCUCCAUUGUCAGCUUUGUGGCCUUACGCAAAUGCCUUCGCCUAUGUGUCUAUAGAGCAGGAAUACUUCUUACUUCCCAGGCUCUUGUGAAGAUGGAAAUCAUUAAUAUUUAGUGCCUUUGAUAGUGUCUGUCACUUUCUUCCUGCCUCAACCUUUCUUUCAAGCCCCCUCUGAGUCCCUCUUCGGGCCAAUCUCUGGCUUCCAGUUCUGGAUGUCCCCACCGGAAGAUAUGGUGCAGC